rnacentral:rRNA from 1 species
CGCCACAGCCAUAUCACCCUGCCGCACAACACUGACGCUAAGCAGGGUUGAGCUGGUCAGUACCAGGAUGGGAGACCUCCUGGGAAAACUAGGUUGCUGUUGGAA